rnacentral:rRNA from 1 species
AAUAUUGCGCAAUGGAGGGAACUCUGACGCAGCGACGCCGCGUGAGCGAUGAAGGCCUUCGGGUCGUAAAGCUCUGUCCUCAGGGAAGAAAAAUGACGGUACCUGAGAAGGAAGCCCCGGCUAACUACGUGCCAGCAGCCGCGGUAAUACGUAGGGGGCAAGCGUUGUCCGGAAUUAUUGGGCGUAAAGGGUGCGUAGGCGGCCAAAUAAGUCAGAUGUGAAAGGCCACGGCUUAACUGUGGAAUUGCAUUUGAAACUGUUUGGCUUGAGUUUCGGAGAGGGUAGUGGAAUUCCCGGAGUAGCGGUGAAAUGCGUAGAUAUCGGGAGGAACACCAGUGGCGAAGGCGACUACCUGGACGAAUACUGACGCUGAUGCACGAAAGCUAGGGGAGCAAAC